rnacentral:rRNA from 1 species
CGAACGGGUGAGUAAUAUAUCGGAACGUGCCCAGUAAUGGGGGAUAGCCCGGCGAAAGCCGGAUUAAUACCGCAUACGACCUACGGGUGAAAGCGGGGGAUCGCAAGACCUCGCGUUAUUGGAGCGGCCGAUAUCAGAUUAGCUAGUUGGCGGGGUAAGAGCCCACCAAGGCGACGAUCUGUAGCUGGUCUGAGAGGACGACCAGCCACACUGGGACUGAGACACGGCCCAG